AUGGAGAUGCAUAUAAAUGGGAAGAUGGGGCCAAGAGAUUGGGACAAGGGGAAGUUGGUUAUCCCGCAGGAGGGAGCUGAACAGCCCAUAUUGCAUGUGGAGACCCAAGUCAAGCCGACAUGCAAGUGGAGUCCCCUGCCGGUGAGCUGGACGAAACUCAAUGUAGAUGACUCCUUCAAUCCUGGCGACGGGAUGGCAGGCACGGGAAUGGUGCUGUGGGACCACAAUGGCAACGUCAUCUUUUCAGCGUGCAGGUCUUUGUGGUCGUGCCCGGAUGCCCUUCAUGCAGAGCUUGCGGGAUGCAUGGAUGGGCUGGCUCUAGCGCACCCGUGGACGAACCUUCCACUUAUCUUGAGAUGUUAUAGCCUUAAUGCAGUCCAGUUGAUCAAUGCUAGGAGCAAGGAUCGGUCACAAUAUGCCAUGGUCAUUUCGGAGCUGAAGAGGUUGAUGGAGGACCGAACUGUGGUCUGGUUACGUUCGGGCCGCUACACAUUUCUAGUUUCUGUAGGGAUGAAUCUUCAGGCUCUUGAGUAA
rnacentral:rRNA from 1 species